UGGGGAAUAUUGCACAAUGGGCGCAAGCCUGAUGCAGCCAUGCCGCGUGUGUGAAGAAGGCCUUCGGGUUGUAAAGCACUUUCAGCGGGGAGGAAGGCGAUAAGGUUAAUAACCUCAUCGAUUGACGUUACCCGCAGAAGAAGCACCGGCUAACUCCGUGCCAGCAGCCGCGGUAAUACGGAGGGUGCAAGCGUUAAUCGGAAUUACUGGGCGUAAAGCGCACGCAGGCGGUCUGUCAAGUCGGAUGUGAAAUCCCCGGGCUCAACCUGGGAACUGCAUUCGAAACUGGCAGGCUAGAGUCUUGUAGAGGGGGGUAGAAUUCCGGGUGUAGCGGUGAAAUGCGUAGAGAUCUGGAGGAAUACCGGUGGCGAAGGCGGCCCCCUGGACAAAGACUGACGCUCAGGUGCGAAAGCGUGGGGAGCAAACAGG
rnacentral:rRNA from 1 species